GGAAUCUUCGGCAAUGGACGAAAGUCUGACCGAGCAACGCCGCGUGAGUGAAGAAGGUUUUCGGAUCGUAAAACUCUGUUGUUAGAGAAGAACAAGGGUGAGAGUAACUGUUCACCCCUUGACGGUAUCUUACCAGAAAGGAACGGCUAAAUACGUGCCAA
rnacentral:rRNA from 1 species